AUGAACGCUGGCGGCGUGCCUAAUACAUGCAAGUCGAGCGAACAGACGAGGAGCUUGCUCCUCUGACGUUAGCGGCGGACGGGUGAGUAACACGUGGAUAACCUACCUAUAAGACUGGGAUAACUUCGGGAAACCGGAGCUAAUACCGGAUAAUAUAUUGAACCGCAUGGUUCAAUAGUGAAAGACGGUUUUGCUGUCACUUAUAGAUGGAUCCGCGUCGCAUUAGCUAGUUGGUAAGGUAACGGCUUACCAAGGCAACGAUGCGUAGCCGACCUGAGAGGGUGAUCGGCCACACUGGAACUGAGACACGGUCCAGACUCCUACGGGAGGCAGCAGUAGGGAAUCUUCCGCAAUGGGCGAAAGCCUGACGGAGCAACGCCGCGUGAGUGAUGAAGGUCUUCGGAUCGUAAAACUCUGUUAUUAGGGAAGAACAAAUGUGUAAGUAACUAUGCACGUCUUGACGGUACCUAAUCAGAAAGCCACGGCUAACUACGUG
rnacentral:rRNA from 1 species